UGAACUCAGGAGGAAAAGGGAAUGGGCACAGAAGCUGUAAGAACAGGAAGACCUUCCAGGCUGCAGCUUCUGAGUCUUAAAGACAGGAGACUGAGUAGCAGGGUGAAAGAGCCCGCAAGGGGGCAGUGAGGGAAGCCAGGUCAAGCACAGCAGGAGGCUGCGGGCGUCACCGGCAUGGCAUUGCUGUGUACUGAGGAACCCCACGCUGUUUCAAGGCAAAGCAUGAGAAAGUGAAUCCUCCAGAGCUGCCAAGUCCCCUCCUGCGUGGAAGGACGGGAAGCUCUUGUCUUGGCUCCUGCUGUGGCUUAGGACCGCUGCUCCUAACCGUCCUCAUGAAGCUACAGCCUCACUGUCCAAAGGACUCCAGCAGUAUGCUACAGCAGGAGUGCUGGACGAAAACGGGUGAGGAGACCUGCGCUCCCACAGGCAAAGUAACCUGCUGAAGAAUCCAGCUCUUAGCUUCUCUGCGAUAGAUAUACAGCAGUUCCACACAGAGAAGAACGCUCCUUCUGCAGACUCUGCUUCAAAUACACAGGGGACAUAACUGGGAUAAAUGGGGAAGAGUGUCCUUGAAGCCGCUUAAUAUCCAUGGCGCAUACCAGACCCUGGACUCACCUCCCUGCUGCUGUAUGUCAGAACAGGCUUCUGACAGUCCAGAAGAGGGCACUGGAGCCCAUACAGGCCCUGGGAAGGUCCUCCUGGCCCACCCCUCACACAGCACUGCUCCCAACCCGCGGAGGAAUGUGAAGUUUUGGCAAUGGGGAGCAACUACUACUUGUUGCAGAUGAGGUCACCAGCAAAUUUCCAAACCAGGAGUCUACUUUAUAAACCAAGUGACCUGCCAGAUAUGGCUUCACAGCCCGAAACUGCAAGAAACCCAUGAUUGGACCAUGGCCAUGCUCCACGCAGCGCUACACAGAGAGCUGGAUGCUUGGGGUCCUGUGCUCUCAGAAGUCCGCAUAACACCAGCAGAGAGCCACACGAACCCAAGUCUUCCUUAGUGGAGACUUUUCCUCACUGACAUGGUUCCUGAAAGCUGAGGAGCCCGUCCUCCUUUCCUCUCUUGCCGAAGUUUUUACAUCACAUGGGAACUUUGGUAGGUAUUGUAUUUUCUCCCUUCUCUUAAAGACAAGCAGAAAUUCCCUGACACCCACAUUUUGGCAUUUUUGGGGUUUUAGGUCACACUAGAUCAUAUUUGCCUCCUGUCAGCAUAGUUCAUUAAUAAGGCAGCUGGGAGAAAGAUGAAAACGCAGGUCCCUGUCCUGGGUGUCCCCUUGAAGCAACAGCAAUUCCUGGGUGAGGUCUGCCCCCUGCUGGAAAUUAUUAAAAAUGACAUCUUUGUUGUGAUUCAAAUUCCUAAAAGGAUUUUCUGUUUUAGGAAGAAAAAAAGGAUGAAAUAAACAGAACAGCUUUUGUUACUUAAAACAGGCGUGAGAAAAUAUACAGUGAGUUAAAUAUCUGCCCUCUGGAAAAAGUGGCUGAGGGUUUAGAGCUCUAAGGUAUCUUAACCUUGUUUUAUUCAAGAGGUCUUUGCUAGAUUGCUAAUUAUCUACCAGGCACAAAUGAGAGGUGCUGAGAAACAGGGAUCUUUUAUUCAGGAUUUUAGA